ACCCUUUUUGAUGCGUGUAAUGGGAAAAUACAUGUAGGGGGUGUCAACGUUUUAAGUGUCAAGCGAGCUCGGUUGUUGUUUAGAGGCCAGCUUAGCUUAGCUGUUAGCUUCUAAACACGACUUAGACGGCCUAUCGUGACAUGGCCAACAUUGAACAUUAAGUGAGCUCUUGUGACAGAAGUGGACUUUUGCUGUCAAUUCGUCGGAUACUAACUGCGAAUUCCACGCAUGAUCAUCACGACGUUGGAAGUUGACACGAUAUUCUUCAUUUUUUUUUGGUCCCCUUCCAAGUAGCUCCAGCUGACGAGCUAAUGUCGACUGACAAGUCCUUACGUUGGCAUAACUUUGCUAUGCUUUCGAUAGGCAUGUGAGAGUCACAAUUUUGCACUAUUAUAACUGUGCGGAAUCCUUUAAUGUCUUCAUGUGGCUUGUUUCGAAAUUAGUGUAAACUACGUUCUCGUCGUGUAUCAGUUGCUCUGUGAAAGACUAAUUUAAGCACAUAUAAAACUCAUUAGAAUACUCUUUGAUCUUCUCUAUGCCGUUGCUUGAUCAAAAUGUUUGUCCCUGCGGACUCAAUCGACUGGGUUAUGGGUAGCCAUAGAUUGUUAGAGUUGCCUCAAAAGGUUCUCCAGAGAACUGUUACUUAAAAAAUAAGGUGACUCAAGUCAAAGUGAAAAGUACAACAGAUGAAGAGCCUGUAAAUGCAAAUUUAAAAGUUUUUAGAAGACAAUAAAUACUCUGUGACAACUAUUGAAUACACUUUUUGUUACAUUUGUUUUAUUUCCAAUCACAACACGUGUGGCAAAACAAAUAAAAUAGCAGUGAGACCCUACUUACCACGGUGCCUAACUUUCGCAUUGUCACCUUAGCGUAGUGGCUAUCUACUGUAGCGAUAAUGCAAAGCUGAUUUAGUAUAUCUUCGCUCUCCUCUAACAUUGUAAGUAUUUGAGGAUGACACUUGUAAAAAGAUAACUAAACAUUAUUUAAUAUUUCAUAUCUGAAAGCAAACACGAUGACCUCUUCUCAAUAUUCCAUCUUUUCCCACCACCAGCGACUGUCCCUUAUAUCUGCAGUGUUUUACUACCCAACAUUUUUGAAACUGAAAGCUAAGUUUUGGUUACAGAUUAACUGAGUGGCUACAAAUGAUGGCGACUGAGGCUAUGUCUACACUAGGACGGAUAAUGGCCUUAAACGUAAUUAUUUGGACUAUACGGCAUGUCAGCCUCACUAGUAUGCCUAUUAUCCGGAUUAGUUGUUAGACGGAUAAUGCAGGCGGGUAAUGUUACCUGCUGCCUAUGCGCCGCCUAAUAUGGACUUCUGUCUCCCGACAACAUUCGAAUAUUCAGGAAGGGACGUCAUGGUGUCACUGUUUUUAGUACGGCAUGACAGCAUGUAAACAAUGGAGGCGGACGAUCACGACGUGGCAUUCCUGCUCUUUUCUUUCCCACACAUUUUUCUUGAACCUUCAAACUACGUGUCAAUAAUAUGGUUCAAUUCAGUCCCCAUUUGGGGUCCCAGUUGAGGUGGAGAUGAGUGUUUUUUACAGAGCUCGUUUCCCGAGUUCUCACAUCAGCCAGCUGCGGGACUGGCCCCUCCCAACUCAAUGCCGACCGAACAUAAGUACUGUAUAUAAAAAUGUGACCUGCGUGGUACCCCCAGUCAAAGAGGCGCGCGGUCAGUUUUUUUUCCAAGACAUUUCUGCCUGUCAAAACUGUUGCCACUUCCAGGAUAGCCACUUUUAUGCACAAGCAGCCUGGUUGCGGCUUCCAGGAAAUAUACCCAGCGCCACAAUAUAUUCUUCUAUUUGUUAUUUUCCAAGUGGUGAGAGCGCAACUGAGUAUUGAUUGUAACAUCCCAAGUAAUGAUGUCAGGCUUUCAUUGUUUUAUAAAGAUUUAUUUCAAUCACACCUCUGCUCCUGCUCGUAAAAGCCGAGCGUGCUUUCCCCUCCACUCUUGCUCCUGCAUGAUGCGUUUGAUUGCGAUCACGGAAAAAACAGUGAUUCCAAAAUAAUGACAAUCUAGAAGGUUUAGUAAUUUCGAUAUUUUCCGCGGGCGAGGAAUGAGUUUCCGGUUCAGAGGUAAACUGCGUGGGCGAUGACUAGAGGUGUGCAAAAUUUCCGAUUCUUAGAUUAUUCGCGAUUCGGCCGUGGAAGAUUCGAGAACGAUUCACAAACAUCCAAAUUCCGAUUAUUGAAAUAUGCCAAGUAAAGCGGAAGUACAACACACUCAGCGCGCCGCGCGUGCUUCGGGACGGAACGGAGCGGGAGUAGCUAAACAUUAUGCUUCUCAUUAACCGGCCCCUCGGGUAAUGCCAACGCUCAACUCACGGCUCUAGCUCAACUCAUGCCACGAGAUAAAAAAACACAACAACAUACCUGCCUGCUGCCGAAAAGCUGCUACAAGUACAGCUAAGCUACAUAAUGUUACGGUAGAUAUCAUUUAUAUAGGGCUAGAUGGAUUAUAGACUCGGUAGCGGUAGCAGCACAUCUGCAAAAAGCUAGAUGCGGCGUUAGUAAACGGCCGCCAUCUUAAAGCAGUAAACUUCCCUGCAAUGCUGUUGUAGCGAACCUUCCAAGCAAACCUAAUUAACUUUUUAUCUAAAAUACUCCUAAAUCGGUAAAAUAUUGACUUGAAUCUAUCUUUAAAAUAGUUUUAAAACUUUCGCAUGUCAAAAGUAGACAAAAGGGAAAUUAUGGAAUAACGGGAGCAAUUUUAACAACUUUAACGGUUGAUUCACAACAUUAAAUUAAUUGAAUGUAGUUUAAAACUGCUGAUACAGAAUGGGGACUGGAGUUUUUUUUUUAUUUAAUGUUAUUUUUGUAUAUUUGUUUACUGCUAUAUGUUAACUUGAUACUGAAAUAUUAGUUUGGUUUAGCCUGAGAGUAUUUUUGAACAAUUUUGGAACUAAUGUACAAAACUUUAUUUAAAAAAAAAAAAAAAAAGGAGGGGGGUGCAUCAAUAAUCGUUUUAUAAUCGAAUCGGAGCCUCUGAAUCGUAAUCGUAAUCGAAUCGUUAGGUGCCCAAAGAUUCCCAGCUCUAGCGAUGACGUAACACAUGAGGCUUCUCCUUUUUAAGUAUGCGUAGUUUGCGCAAAUGCAGGUGUACCUUGCAGAAGCAGGGGGGCCCUUUACCCCUGGGUGUUAUUUGUCCAUUUUUUGGCUUUUUUCGUUUUUUUCUGUGUUUAAAAGGAAAAAAAGCAUAUGAAAAAAUACACUAGGGAGCUGAUAUUUCCUGCAGGAUACUAAAUCAUGUAGAAGUUCGAAAUGGCACCAUCCGGCAAUUUCUAACUUACUGCAAACAGGCUGGGAAGAUUUGCACUAAACUCUUGUUAUUUUGCCAUUUUUUGGCUCAUUGACUCCCAUUAUAAAUCAUGAUUUUUAAUAUGCUGUAAACCUGAUGUUUUAUCAUGCAUUUUCCGUGAUUAUUGAUGCAAUCGCUUCUUUGGCGAGUCAAAAACAUGCAGAUAAAAAAUUUUUUGUGUUGACACCCAGAAGUCACUAGAUGGAGCCAUAGGCCAAUACAUGAAUUUUCUUGCGAAGCUAGCUUCAGAUCGGUCAAAAAUUAAAGCAAUAAAGACGGUUGGCUUUACAAAAAAAAUGGUGUCAAUGUUGUCUGAGCUCACUUUCAGUCUAUUUGGGCAUGCGUAUUUGCAAUUUUGCACGUUUGCACAAGACAAUAAAAAGGUACUUCCCGGAAAUGCAAAAAAACCAAAACAAAAAACCACGUGUUUAUUGUUGUCGUUUGAAUUUCAACUUUUAUUGGUUGGGUGUUUGAAUUUCUUUACUCUCAUUGGUUCUGGGCAUUUUGGGAGUCUCUGUUCUCGCGAGGAUCACCAUUUUGCAUUUCUUCCAACACAACUUAUGAUCGAUGGCGGCGAGAAGUAUUUCACCGCAGGACACGAUUCGAAUGGUGUUAGAAAAUCCUGAUUCCGACGACGACGACCUUUGUUCGGACGCUUCUUUGGAGAGCCCAGAAGACAUUGAACAAAUUCUUCCGGACUUUCGAUGCCGGAGGAGGACGGCUUUGAUGACGAGGAUUAGGAAAUAGUUGACAACAUAACGAGAUGAAAGCGGGGAGCAGAAGGCGGGGGCACGGACAUGACCACGUUGAGGCGCAUGACGAAAAUGACGGCGAUCGAGGCCUGAGGCACAUACUCCUGCCGCCGGCGCGCACUCAGGUGGCCAAUGUGUGUUUUUUCACAUGCCGGACAUUUCGUCAUGCAGCGCGUUUGUGCUGUUCACGGAGAUCUACCCUCGUUUGUGCUGUUCACAGAGAUCUACCCUGAGUGGAACGUGAAGAAAAGCUACAAGCGCCGACUAUUUCUUGAGGAACUUGGCAAGGCUCUAAUUCGGCCAGAAGUCCUAAAACGGGAACCACCGCCUUCUGCCGAAGGCUUGGUUGAGCAGCGAGCUGGACCCCCGUCCAAGCGCAAACAAUGUGGCCUUUGCACAAAGCCACUUCGGGCUUCGAACAUAAUAAUAAAUAAUAAUACAUUUUAUUUAUAACGCACUUUACAUUUGAACAACAAAUCUCAAAGUGCACAUCAUGAAUUGUGUAUGUUGUUAUUAUGUUAACUGUUAUAUUGUAUGUAUGUUUUGUAAAAUUGUUAACAUAAAUUCUAUCAUCAAAUCA